GACGAACGCUGGCGGCGUGCUUAACACAUGCCAGUCGAACGGAAAGGCCCUGCUUUUGUGGGGUGCUCGAGUGGCGAACGGGUGAGUAACACGUGAGUAACCUGCCCUUGACUUUGGGAUAACUUCAGGAAACUGGGGCUAAUACCGGAUAGGAGCUCCUGCUGCAUGGUGGGGGUUGGAAAGUUUCGGCGGUUGGGGAUGGACUCGCGGCUUAUCAGCUUGUUGGUGGGGUAGUGGCUUACCAAGGCUUUGACGGGUAGCCGGCCUGAGAGGGUGACCGGCCACAUUGGGACUGAGAUACGGCCCAGACUCCUACGGGAGGCAGCAGUGGGGAAUAUUGCACCAUAGGCGGAAGCCUGAUGCAGCAACGCCGCGUGCGGGAUGACGGCCUUCGGGUUGUAAACCGCUUUCGCCUGUGACGAAGCGUGAGUGACGGUAAUGGGUAAAGAAGCACCGGCUAACUACGUG
rnacentral:rRNA from 1 species